UGCGUAGGCGGAUUUUUAAGUCAGUGGUGAAAGCCCGGAGCUCAACUCCGGAACUGCCAUUGAUACUAUUAAUCUUGAAUACAGUUGAGGUGGGCGGAAUGUGUAGUGUAGCGGUGAAAUGCUUAGAUAUUACACAGAACACCGAUUGCGAAGGCAGCUCGCUAAACUGUUAUUGACGCUGAGGCACGAAAGCGUGGGGAGCGAACAGGAUUAGAUACCCUGGUAGUCC
rnacentral:rRNA from 1 species